CUUUUCUCUACCAGUAAGCAGAUGUAAAUUUGCCCAACAAAACACACAGUUUAUUCAUAAUUCAUUUGGGGGUUUGAACUGACAGCAUUUAGGUUAGCAACGUGACCGCUGGACCGCUGACCGUAUGAAUGCAUUAAUACAAUCCAUGUGAAAAUGUAGCUGGUCACCAGAGAUGGUGAACACUCUCCAUGUAUUUCUAGAAUAGCUUCCGCUGGCAGUGAAACGCUCUGAGCCGUAAGUCCUGCUGAUGUACGGUAUUGGGCAGCUGCAAUCACAGUCUACUCAAGCUGGCACUGUUAUUCUAAUACAGCAGCGCUGCAGCUCGUGCCCCAUACCUGCAAUGUUUAUUUCGGGUUCCUUUGACUCACACUGCGGCUUUUUCCUAUUUCCUUGCUACAAUUAUUUGUGAAGAUAAACUACACUCAGCAUGGCCCGUAUUGGGUCUCCUGCAGGUUUUGGCACACCGGCUUUAGGACUGUUGUCUGAUUGGCACAAGCAUGUCGACCGUACUGUUGAGUCCUGCUUGCCUUGCCCUAAAUGUCGGGUGAGUCAUGGAUAUGGAUUAAUAGCAACACUCUUCAUUUACACCUUUAACACUCCCCCACUAAGAAAACGCUCUUCAUGUGGCUCAAGAGGCAGUCGGCCGAGCGGUGACAGGCUGUGGUCAUACUAUCAGUCAUCGCUGUCAUGUGCCCUCAAUCUGUCUGUGCAGCUGUAACAGUGACUCCUUAAAUAACACGCUGACAUCUACAUGAACAACUCACGCAUUUAAUGAACCUUACACAGUCAACGGUAAACAUUUUUGCAUGCUUUUAAUGCUUUUUUUCUCCUUUCAAAUAGGUUAGAUUUUGCUUUACAUUUAAAAUUAUAUUUGAAUCAUCUUUUGCUGUGCUUUAAAGAGGUACACCUAUUUUGAUGUGUUGACAUACUAAAGCACAUGCGGGUGAGUCAUGGAUAUGGAUUAAUAGCAACACUCUUCAUUUACACCUUUAACACUCCCCCACUAAGAAAACGCUCUUCAUGUGGCUCAAGAGGCAGUCGGCCGAGCGGUGACAGGCUGUGGUCAUACUAUCAGUCAUCGCUGUCAUGUGCCCUCAAUCUGUCUGUGCAGCUGUAACAGUGACUCCUUAAAUAACACGCUGACAUCUACAUGAACAACUCACGCAUUUAAUGAACCUUACACAGUCAACGGUAAACAUUUUUGCAUGCUUUUAAUGCUUUUUUUCUCCUUUCAAAUAGGUUAGAUUUUGCUUUACAUUUAAAAUUAUAUUUGAAUCAUCUUUUGCUGUGCUUUAAAGAGGUACACCUAUUUUGAUGUGUUGACAUACUAAAGCACAUGUUAAAGGGGUCAUAUGACGCGAUUUCAAGUU
ensembl:lncRNA